rnacentral:rRNA from 2 species
GGGUUGUGAGGUUAAGCGACUAAGCGUACACGGUGGAUGCCCUGGCAGUCAGAGGCGAUGAAGGGCGUGCUAAUCUGCGAUAAGCGCCGGUAAGGUGAUAUGAACCGUUAUAACCGGCGAUACCCGAAUGGGGAAACCCAGUGUGAUUCG